AAAUAAGAGGGCUGCCAAUAUGGACCCCAAAUGGGUUUGUCCGCGGGUUCCAUGGUGGCCCCACAUGGGUUUGCCCAGGUAAUUUAAAUGGGUGCUGACUGGGUUUUGAGUGGGGCCCAGAUGCCUCAUUCCAGUAGGAACAAUGGGGUCUUUCUCACCUAACCUGAAAGUGAAUUACAUUAAUAGAUAUACAAUCUUAAUCAACAAACCAUAUUAAAAUGCUUUAGCAUAAAACCUGCA